ensembl:lncRNA
CGCCGGACUCCCCCAUGGGGCCCAGGGAGCUUCCCACCACAGGCUGUUUUUUGGAGGAGGAGUUAUGGUGGAGGGAAGUGACUGCCUCUUAGAAACCACAGGGGCCAGAUCCUGUCUCUGGCAACUUUGAAUCUGAACAACGGCUACAAGGAUGCAAGAUGGUUGGAGGCCAUUCCCCGCAGGGCUCGGGUAGCGUGUGGACCACACGCCUCUGCUCUGAGUUUUGCAGUGUCUCCUUCAGCCUCAUAUUCACCAGCUCUCUUAGCCCUUGCCCACAUUCCCACCCUAGACAUCUAAUCUCCCACGGAUUCUGAUGCGCCAUAAAGUCUGUGAAUAACCCGCAGCCUCGUUGUUUCUUAAAAUAGCUUGCAAGAAAAAUUACAAGAGGGAUUUCGCUGAUAAUCUUUGUCUUCCCUGAUAGGCCUAAAGAUUAUUUGGUGAAUUUCCAAACAGCAACUUAGGAGCAGUAGAGAGAAGCUGUACAGUCAAGGCUAAUACUUUUCAAUUUGAAAUAUGGAGGCUGAAGUAAUUGGAGAAGGUGAUAGUGACUAUUUCUGAAAUAAUUAUUAGGAUCAACUAUUUGGCACUGAAAAAGUUGGCGAGAAGUGAGUUGAAGACUGAAUCCAUGGCUAAAUAUGGUGCCAACACCUAAUUUUACAGUCGUUGUUGCAUUUUUCUCAUCAACGAAGAAUGUGCAUUGGCAGGUUUCUCGCCUGCCCUCGUAGAAUGGUUAUUGCUGUGCAGCCUCUGCACAUGUUGUGAUGAUUCUGGAUCAUUUUCUCAAGUUUGAAACUGUGGAUGUGGCAAUGGCUGUUUCCAGACAGAAAACAGUGGAAUCUUGGAAAGAGCUGAAGAAACUAUCAACUGUGAUUUUGUACUUUUGGCCAACUGAAUUAAGAAAGCAGAUCCUUUGGGUUUACACAUCCAGGAAAGGAAUCAGCCUCUCUUAUACGCUGUGAGGUUCUUCUUCUCUGAAAAGAAUGCACUUUCAUUAUUGAAAUUAUAUCAGAAAAUAUUCAUAUUGUGUUUUAUGGGUUUUUUUUGGUCUUCAUAUCUUGAAAAGAAUGAUUUUGAGAAUCAAGUUUCAUCUGCCAAUUUUAAUAGUGUAAUUCCUGCUGAAGUAAUUAGUUCUCUUCUUCCUCAUCUUUUUCUGAACCCACUGGAAAAAAAAAAAGAGAAAAGAGAAAGGCGGACGGAGGCUAAAAGAGCAUCCUUCCUACUGAUAAAGCUGACACCGGAGAAAGUGGAAUAUAUCUGUAGGCAGAUGGACUUCCUAGUACUGAGCACAGGUAUUGAAGGACCAUCUGGCCACAGGCAGGGUCGGACCAUUGCUGGCCUCCACACAGGGCAGGCAUGGAGCGAAGCUUUACUGGUAUGCUUCCCACGGGUUCGAGAGCCACCUAGAGCAUGUUUUCUCUAUUUCCUAAAAGGAAGAGCGACAGAAAGGGGCCAGGCUGCGCAUGCUCAGCUUCUCCUCACAGACUCACCAAUCAGGUCCCUGUUACUAUGCUCAGGAAGUGGAAACUUCCCUGGGUCAUUCGCUGAAACGCUGGGAACUCCAGAAUGCACAGCUUUGCAGGCUUUUGUGUUCUUCAGAAAAGGGACCUGUAAUUCUGAGAAGUGGAUCAGAGAAGGUCAAAUCACUGUGCACAAAACAAUGACUCAAAACUCUGAGUCUUUUCCAGACUUACCUACCUUAAAAAAAAAAAAAGAAGUCCUUUGCCCCACUGAGGAGAGCUCCUGAGAGGCAACAUGAGGGGCUGAGGGGCUCCUGCGGCUUUGAGGAAACCCUGCAGGCCAGGCCACGCCACCAGAAGGAACCAAAACACAAAGAGAAACCCCAUUCAGCAGACCACGGAGAAGUCCUCUUCGCUGUUUGAAACUUUUCUCUCGUUUGUGGCAAGUCUAAUGAUUCAGUAAUGACCACAGCUGUGUUUGGGCCUACGGGUCCCCUCAGAGGCGUUUUCCCCCACUUCAGGGCAGGACCAGAACCAGCUGGCGAGGCUUCCCUCCUCCCAGCUCUUUCCAGUUUCUGCCAUGCGUCUGGGACAAGCAGAGCUUGGAGCAGCCGUUUGGAGAUUUUAUCAGACUUCUCGUGAAUCUAAUUCCGGUGGGAGGAAGCAAAGUAAAAUUCGCUGUUUAGGUUCAUGGACAAUGCAUUUCUGGGCCUGAAAUUCAGCUCUCAGGAUCCUGCUGGUGAAGGAUGUCACCCCUGCCUGCCGCACAUGGCCACCAGCGUGGGGUGUAGUGGCCUGUGAGGAGAUUGAGAAGAGCAGUCCUAUCCCUGCAAAAAGUGGGGACCCUCCUCAGGCACAGCCUAAGAUGACAGGGACAUCACGAAGUCAUUAUAUCAGUGGGAGACAAGAGACGACAUUGACCAGCAGGGGCCGUUGGCACUGAGGAAGAAAAGCCUGGAGAGCCACCUGGGAAGACUGCGGAGCCUGUGGUGGGGGUGGUGGCCAUCCCGGUUGUUUGCUGUGGGGGUGCACAGGGCCACGGUCACUGCCCAUCGCCCUCAGUUCCUUGGACCUGGAUUGUCCGAAUGCAGAGGGGCAAGAACCACGCAGAGCCUGUGUGCAACUCCAGCCAGGUCGCAGUGGAUGAGUUUCUGACUUCAUCGGUCUGGAGCGUAACCUGGCAUGGAGAUCGGGGAAUCAUUACCUUUUGCCUGAAGUGGCUUUUGUAAGCCUCCAGUGGUACCUGCAUCUGAUUGGCCCUCAGUUGCAUACUCAGCUUGGAAUUCCUUCUAAUGCUGGUUUUGUGGGAGAGAUUCCGCGUUGUCCACUCUAGCACUG